rnacentral:rRNA from 1 species
GGGAGUGCUCGCAAGAGAACCGGAACACAGGUGCUGCAUGGCUGUCGUCAGCUCGUGUCGUGAGAUGUUGGGUUAAGUCCCGCAACGAGCGCAACCCUUGUCAUUAGUUGCCACCAUUCAGUUGGGCACUCUAAUGAGACUGCCGGUGACAAACCGGAGGAAGGUGGGGAUGACGUCAAGUCCUCAUGGCCCUUAUGGGUAGGGCUUCACACGUCAUACAAUGGUCGGUACAGAGGGUCGCCAACCCGCGAGGGGGAGCCAAUCCCACAAAGCCGAUCGUAGUCCGGAUUGGAGUCUGCAACUCGACUCCAUGAAGUCGGAAUCGCUAGUAAUCGUGGAUCAGCAUGUCACGGUGAAUACGUUCCCGGGUCUU